UACGUAGGGGACGAGCGUUGUCCGGAAUUACUGGGCGUAAAGGGCUCGUAGGUGGCCAACUAAGUCAGACGUGAAAUCCCUCGGCUUAACCGGGGAACUGCGUCUGAUACUGGAUGGCUUGAGUUCGGGAGAGGGAUGCGGAAUUCCUGGUGUAGCGGUGAAAUGCGCAGAUAUCAGGAGGAACACCGGUGGCGAAGGCGGGUCUCUGGGCCGAUACUGACGCUGAGGAGCGAAAGCGUGGGGAGCGAACAGG
rnacentral:rRNA from 1 species